GAGUUUGAUCCUGGCUCAGAACGAACGCUGGCGGCAUGCCUAACACAUGCAAGUCGAACGAGAUCUUCGGAUCUAGUGGCGCACGGGUGCGUAACGCGUGGGAAUCUGCCCUUGGGUGCGGAAUAACUUCUCGAAAGGGAUGCUAAUACCGCAUAAUGUCGUAAGACCAAAGAUUUAUCGCCCAAGGAUGAGCCCGCGUAAGAUUAGCUAGUUGGUGGGGUAAAAGCCUACCAAGGCGACGAUCUUUAGCUGGUCUGAGAGGAUGAUCAGCCACACUGGGACUGAGACGCGGCCCAGACUCCUACGGGAGGCAGCAGUGGGGAAUAUUGGACAAUGGGCGAGAGCCUGAUCCAGCAAUGCCGCGUGAGUGAUGAAGGCCCUAGGGUUGUAAAGCUCUUUUACCCGGGAUGAUAAUGACAGUACCGGGAGAAUAAGCUCCGGCUAACUCCGUGCCAGCCGCCGCAGUAAC
rnacentral:rRNA from 1 species